GCCUGGGUGGCUCAAUUGGUUAAGCAUCUGACUUCGACUCAGGUCAUGAUGUACAGUUCAUGGGUUUGAACCCUACGUCAGGCU
rnacentral:tRNA from 1 species